CCCCUAGAUGUUCUGGGCCGCACGCGCGCUACACUGAACAGUUCAACAAGUCUUAACCUUGGCCGAUAGGUCUGGGUAAUCUUUGAACGCUGUUCGUGAUUGGGAUAGACCUUUGCAAUUAUGGGUCUUCAACGAGGAAUUCCUAGUAAACGCAAGUCUUCAGCUUGCAUUGAUUACGUCCCUGCCCUUUGUACACACCGCCCGUCGCACCUACCGAUUGAAUGGUCCGGUGAAAUCUCGGGACGGCGGCUUGGUCGCUUGCGUCCGACUGCUGAAACUUGAUUAAACCAUAUCAUUUAGAGGAAGGUGAAGUCGUAACA
rnacentral:rRNA from 1 species